GAGUUUGAUCAUGGCUCAGAUUGAACGCUGGCGGCAGGCCUAACACAUGCAAGUCGAGCGGUAGAGAGAAGCUUGCUUCUCUUGAGAGCGGCGGACGGGUGAGUAAUGCCUAGGAAUCUGCCUGGUAGUGGGGGAUAACGCUCGGAAACGGACGCUAAUACCGCAUACGUCCUACGGGAGAAAGCAGGGGACCUUCGGGCCUUGCGCUAUCAGAUGAGCCUAGGUCGGAUUAGCUAGUUGGUGAGGUAAUGGCUCACCAAGGCGACGAUCCGUAACUGGUCUGAGAGGAUGAUCAGUCACACUGGAACUGAGACACGGUCCAGACUCCUACGGGAGGCAGCAGUGGGGAAUAUUGGACAAUGGGCGAAAGCCUGAUCCAGCCAUGCCGCGUGUGUGAAGAAGGUCUUCGGAUUGUAAAGCACUUUAAGUU
rnacentral:rRNA from 1 species